GUGGCCGAGGAAUCUCCACCGCGGCAAGACCUGUAAGGAUCCAGCUUUGCAGCUGAAGGGUGGGUAUCUCUGCCUCUUGCAACCCUGGCACUGGCAUAUUGAUGCAUGUACCUACCUCCUGGGCUCUGUAUGGCCGAUGGUUGCUGCCACCCAAGCUGCUGGGAAGAUGGCCCAGAGCGUGACCAGAGCAUGUGGCAGUAUGAACUACCUUUCUCGUCACGUGACCAAAAUAUAUGAUAAAACAACUUGAAGCGGAGCCCCCUGACUGUAGGCCACUCUCUUCCCAGGCCACGGGAAACGGAGAAAUGCUGUGGAGGUCCUGGU
rnacentral:lncRNA from 1 species